rnacentral:rRNA from 1 species
UACAGAGGUCUCAAGCGUUGUUCGGAUUCAUUGGGCGUAAAGGGUGCGUAGGCGGCGCGGUAAGUCGGGUGUGAAAUCUCGGGGCUUAACUCCGAAACUGCAUUCGAUACUGCCGUGCUUGAGGACUGGAGAGGAGACUGGAAUUUACGGUGUAGCGGUGAAAUGCGUAGAUAUCGUAAGGAAGACCAGUGGCGAAGGCGGGUCUCUGGACAGUUCCUGACGCUGAGGCAACGAAGGCCCAGGGGAGCAAACGGG